AACGAACGCUGGCGGCAUGCCUAACACAUGCAAGUCGAACGAAGUCUUCGGACUUAGUGGCGCACGGGUGCGUAACGCGUGGGAAUCUGCCCUUGGGUGCGGAAUAACUUCUCGAAAGGGAUGCUAAUACCGCAUAAUGUCGUAAGACCAAAGAUUUAUCGCCCAAGGAUGAGCCCGCGUAAGAUUAGCUAGUUGGUGGGUAAAAGCCUACCAAGGCGACGAUCUUUAGCUGGUCUGAGAGGAUGAUCAGCCACACUGGGACUGAGACACGGCCCAGACUCCUACGGGAGGCAGCAGUGGGGAAUAUUGGACAAUGGGCGAAAGCCUGAUCCAGCAAUGCCGCGUGAGUGAUGAAGGCCCUAGGGUUGUAAAGACUCUUUUACCUAGGGAUGAUAAUGACAGUACCUGGAGAAUAAGCUCCGGCUAACUCCGUGCCAGCAGCCG
rnacentral:rRNA from 1 species